UUCAAUGACGCCCCACCCUCUUCUCUUUAUGAUAGUGGCAGUCAUUUACAGGGCAUAUCGAAGUUUGCAGAACGGUUCCGAUUUGCACUUGCCUGGCUUUUCUCUCUUGAGUAAAAAUCACCAGAGACUGAUUCUCAUCCAUUUGCGACUCAAAUAUUCCUAACCUGGAGAAGAUAACUUCCUAAAAUCAGGAAAGCACAGUGACCUUGUAACAACCAUAUGGUUUUAUUUAAAUUAGUGCAUGUUUUGAAAAGCUAUUAAAAAAUUCAGAGCAAAGAGGGAAGUAUUAAAAAAUAAGAUGGGACUAUAAACUCCAUGUCAAAAUGGCUUCUUUCUUUCUUGGGAAAUUACAGAGUACAGGUAUGAGAAUGUUACUGUUUGUUGGAUUGAUUUCCCUUUUGACAUUUGUAUUUACCCUUUUAAACUUCAUGAGGGUUAGAGGAUAGUUGAGGAAAUACAGGUCAGUGAGUUUGAAAUGUGCACAACAGCAAAAAAAGGCUUACUUAAGAAUACAUAGCGAAAUUGACAAAUUAACUCAUGGCUACUGAAAAUAUGAAGACUUAAGAACAUAUCUGUAAAAGGAUGUGUGGGUGAUUUUAUCAUUAACAUUUGUAGCUUCACAAGUUAAAAUUAUAAGGGCAGUACGACUGCAGCAUUGGCUGACCAUGUUUUGUAUUGAAGUGAGAAAGCAUUGCUCCUGUGCCUGGGUACACACUGCCUACCUAUGCUGCUAACCUACCACCGCUGAGACGGUACAGAUGACCGCAAAAAGUACAUAAAUUAGAUACUUGAUCUUAUUCGUAUAGCUCUUAUUCAAAAAAAGCAGAACAUUGGCAAUAUUUUGUAAGUGAGCCAUCAGAAGAAAUUUCAAAUAUGAAUAAAAUUUCACUUAUAAGAAUCUGUGUGCAUGUGGGACCCCAUUCAAGGGGUUAGGAUACUAUUAAAUGUUAAAAGGACUUGAUAAUGAGGAACUGAGGUCAUGGAUCCAGCUGGUAGCAUGUAGAGGGUUUCUCCAAUAACUUCCACAUUCCUGAGCAAUAUAGGGCAGGGUGUAUGGCAUCCCAAUGUAUAUUUCUCUUCCUCGCUGUAAGCCUGUGUCUGAAACAGACCCCCAUCAUGGGAGGGGAUAUCAUUUCACCUUUAUGUCCCAUGUUCGUUGUAGUAGCUCCGCAAUGAACUUGGUGGGGUAUGUCAACCAAUAACGCGCCUUCCCAGUUCUGUGUAUGACAUGACGACUCACCUGGGCUCAUCCUAAAACUUAGGCAGUGGAGCAUCGUGAAAGAAAGACUGUGUGGCAGCUGUUAACAUCAUUUGUUCAUUGUAGACAAAGCUUCGGAAGAAGUCUUAUGUUCACCUGGAUUUUCUAGCCUGAUUCAUCAAGUUAAACUCUCUGUCCUCCCAGCCAAGUAGUUUUUACCUUUGCUGUUUACCCUAACACAGGAAGGAUUUGUUUUAUUUCUUUGGAAUUUCUGUUUUCUUAAUCUAGGUGCAUGAACCAGUUUCAUAAAAUUUCCAAAACCCCCUCAUGUAACACACCGCAUAGACUGUAGCAUCUCAUUCACAGAGGAUAACUUUUUUUCAUUGUCGAUGACAAAAUGAAAAAGUGGCAUAUUGCACAUUGUUGCUUUUUAUUCCACAGUAUAUUCUUCAACUUGAAUAGCGGUAAAGGUACUCAAGUCAUGUGUGUUGGAGGAGGGCAGAAAAGUACAGAAGGCAGUCAGAGACCGCUAGUCAGAGCCACGAGGGUGCAUUGUGGUCACUGGUUCUGGGAAUGUUUGGUGACAUCAGGAUGUUUCUCUCUCCUUUAUUAUCAAUUUAUAGUUUUAUGGUAAGUUUGAAAGAUUGAGAUGCACAAAAAACAAAAGCCAAUAGUUCCAGAGGUUUUACAGUGUGAAUAAGAACCUCAGGCCACAUCAUUUAUGGAAAGUAUUUCCUGCCCUUAAAUAGAGACAGGAAAAAUGGUAGGUUCAUAGGUUUUACUUAAUGCCUACUCAUUAAAAUCAAUUUUUCCUUCUUGUGAAUAGAGCUGAUGUUAGUAUUUUAACCCUAAUUUAGAUUAUGUACAUGGAAGGAAGGGAAAGAAAACCCUGAUUUUAGUCUUUUCUUUAGUUUUGUAUGUAUUUCUUAAAUAUGUGGCAGAUAUAAUUUCAUUCUCUUUCACAGUAAAGCUUCAAGAGAAGCAGCCCACAGUGUUUAAUGACCUAAUUAUUUAUGGAAAACAAUAAUUUGUAUUUACUCAUUUGCAAUACUGUACACCAGUUCUUCUGUAAAGUUAGAGUUAAAUCUAGAUUUUAGUGAACUUCACUCUUGGUCAUUUUACUGGAGUUUUUAAUUGGGGAUAAUGGGAUGGGUAAUAUGCUGUAUAAUUUCAGAAUCAGAACUCUUUUUAGAUAAGGAAUGUUAGUAGUCUAAAGAUUUCUUUAUUUCAAUCUUACAGGAUUCUUUAUUUUUUUAACUUUUAAAAGUGUUUCAUUUAUUUUUGAGACAGAGAGAGACAGAGCAUGAGUGGGGGAGGGGCAGAGAGAGAAAGAGGGAGACACAGAGUCAGAAGCAGGCUCUAGGCUCUGAGCUGUCAGCACAGAGCCAGACGCGGGCUUGAACCCGCAAACUGUGAGAUCAUAACCUGAGCUAAAGUUGGACGCUUAACUGACAGAGCCACCCAGGCGCCCCUCAGUCUUAUAGGAUUCUUUUCUCAUUUACUGAUAAAAGCUGGUUGAAGUUUGAUUCUUUAUAAGAAAAUGUAAAACUUGGUGAAAUUAAAAUAAUCACACGUGUGAUUAUCGGCUUCUGAAAAAAGAUGAGCUGUUAGUUACAAUGGACACAAAGUUAGAGGAAACAAUCCCCGAAUCACAACGAUGAAUAGAAAGCCUGAGCCGGAUGCCAAGGAUCGGAUCCCAUAAUCACUCUGGAAAACCUACUUUUGAGGCUGUUUUUUAAGACAUGACAUUUAACAUCUAUCUCUUGGGGAAGAAAAGUUUAGUCUGCCAUUCAGGCUCUAGGAGGCAUCGCAAAGAUACGCUACUUCACAUGACAUCCUGUUUCAGCGAUUCACCACGAAGGCACGUAUGCCCUUCUCCCCUUCUGGCUAAAAAUAGUUCCUUAGGUCUUCCACUGUCAGCUGCUCUAUACAUCUCCCCCCACCCCUCCAAGGAAUUCAGGACCCAAUGACCACAUUUCAGAGUGGGAAGACAGACUAUGGACUGGGCCUAGGUCAGCCACUCUGCUUUCUCUCUUCUCUGAAAAGUUCUGGCUACCUUGCCUCAUUCUCUUUAAGUGUGUGUGUUUUAUAGUGUGCGGAUGUGGUCAGAUCUCUUCAGUCAGAUUGUGAGCUCUUAGAGGACAAGAACUAUUUCGCGUAUUUUUCGGGUAGGCCCUGGCACAUGGUGAGUGCCAAGGAAAUCCAUGCUUUACUUAUCCGGGCAUUAUAACUGGCAUGGGGAAGAACUACGAGACCAGUCAAGAGCUUGUUAUAAACCUGCUCUGCCUACUUCAUCCAGUUGUUGUGAACAACAACAACAAAAUUGGAAAUACUGGCAACAUACAUGCUCACUGGUGACAUAGUCUUCACCUUGCAGCCACGUGCACUUGGAUAGAUAGAGGAGCAUAUUGACACCGACUGUCUGUGCCUUCCUUCUGUUUGGGAUUCUAGGACUCCUGCAUCCUUAGUUUUGUGACAUCUGAGUAGAUUAUUAUUGCAGGCUCUUGAAACGUGACUGCCGUGUUCUCCAGGCUUGUCGGUAAUACAGCACACGCUGCUAAGCAGUCCAUGGGAAGGGCAUGUGCUCUUGUGAUACACUUCAGGGGCACAGCAAGGAGUGUUGGAAUGACUUUGACUGUGACCUUUGGUGCUUGUGUCCUGCUGUUACAAGAGCUUCCCGAAUGCUGUCAGCCUUUGGAUGUUCUAACAUGUUACUAAGCAAAGGACUAAAGCAGGAAGAGGAGGACUGGAACGAUUCCACCCAGAGAUAAGGCAGUGGCAGAGAAAGGGUACUGCCUCAAAGACAUAAAAUGUGGUUUUGUUCCUGGCCUUGCAGCUUACUGGCUCGAAUGGCAUUGGGAAGUUACUUCUGAUCUCUAGGCCUCUAUGUCCUCAUCUGUACAGUGGGGGCAUUAGAAGCCUGCCCAGGAUCCAUCUGACAUUGUCUGAGUCUGGUAACGGGCUAGGAGGGAGAGAGAGCAUUUCCCAUUAUGAGUUGAACAGUUCUACUACAGUAUACUGCCAUUAUAGGAAGCUACCCGUUUGUGGAAGUAGAAAUACAUAGACUUUAAAGACGGACAGACUGGAGUUCAGACGCUCAGUCAGCCGGGGGCCGGUGGUGUGGGUCCCGAUUGGUCUCCAUCCACCUGUUUCUCCUCUUCUGGGAAGUGAAGUGAAUCACCCAGCCUCAUGAGAGCCUGCCUGCAUGUAGUGGGUGUUGAAUAAAUAUUCUCCCUUUGAAGAAAAGCAGGAAUAAAAAGGGCACCAUUUCCUCAAAUUUCAAUAGUUGCCAAUUCUCCUAUCGUAUUUAGUAGGGAUUAAACAUCUGAGUUAAUUUAUAAUUUUAAAAGAACAUUUAAGGGAAAUCUCAAACUGGAACCCUUAUUUUUUUAUUUGAAUUUUUAUUUAAGCAUAUCUGGAGAAAAAUUUCAAGAUCUGAUUAGAUCAUGUAAAAAAAAAAAUGGAAUAAUGAUGCCAGAAAUCCAUUAGUUUGCUAAGACAAAAAGAUACCAAAUUUUGGUGUGGCAGUGGUAUUUGGCCACAUUUUUUUAAAAAAGGAAUUCUGAGUUUGUAUACUUCAGAGAUAACUUAUUGAUAUAUAUACAGGUGAGAUGAUUGGUUGUCUGGGAUUUGCUGCAAACGAAAUGGGAGAGCAGAAUGGAUGGGGAGAAAGAUAAGACUGGCCAAGAUUCAGUCAUUAUUGAAGCCGCACAACAGGGGGCUCGUGUAACCAUUCUGCCUGAUUUUGUGUAUGUUUGAAAUUCUUGAAAGUAAAUGUUUAAAAAGGAAAAGAAGCUCUCUAAAUACAAAUAUAAAAAUACAUGGGAGCACAGGUGUCAGAGGGAGACAUGAGGGAAACAUGCCUCACUCAGUUAGCCUCACUGUUUUCUGAGUCUGAGGGGAAGGAGCUGACCUGAGUCCCUCACCAGCCACAGCAGUGCUAAAGCCUGUGGUUCCCCUCCCUUUUCCUUCCCUUGUAGAGGCCGGUGCAAUUCUGACCUGCGCGCAUGUAGGCAGAGUAGUGGCAAGAGUGGAGCAAAGAGAGAGAGAAAGACGUUCGGUGUUUUGCCAGUUUGAAGUACUCUAAGGGAGUCAGUGACUGGGCUGUAAAAAGACCCUGUGUGUUCCACUGGGGGACGAAGCCUAACACCUCUUUACGACGGGUGUGGAGUGGGGAAGGGUGCAGGUAUGGCAGCAGACAGAUUUAAUUGUAUUCUCCCUGGCUUCCUAACAAAAAAAUGCCAGGCCAAAGAUCCCUCUGAGCUCCCUAAUUUUAGAGGCAGGACAGAAGGGAAUAAUGGCCCUUUUCCUAGCUUGCAGUAACUUUUGCAAACCAUUCUGCAGGACAUUCAUAAUGAGGUGGUGAAGGCAUUUCUGUAACACAAAGAACUGACUAGUACCAUGAAGUCAGCUAUAUUGAGUUUUUGCUUGAUGUUUCUCAUUAUUCCUCAUCAUCCCAGUACAAGGAGCUUAGAGCUAGUCAGGGCUCAAUAAAUAGUGAUUCAGAUGCUAUUUAUUGUAAGUGAGAGCCAGUGCCAGACUGAAGAAUAUUGAGAAUUUUGAGACAGGUGCUAUUUUGGAAAAAACCUCAAUCUUUAGGCUUAAUAAAGAAAUAGAGACAGGUGCAGGUAUUGUAGCCAGACGUACCCAUGGGCUAGGGAAUGUUUAAGACAGGCAGUUACAUGAACAUUUAGUAGCUUUAGAGAAAAGGAAAAAAAAACAACAACCCAACAACAAAGCUUUUCUUUACCUCAGUAAAGUAUUAUGUUUAAUUUAACAUAAAAGGUUUAAUAUGUAUCUGUGUGUAAAAGCUUAGUAAGACAGUGUUACUUUAAUGACUUUAUCAGAAGGAAAGAAAAGACAUCAUAAAAAUGCCACUUGCGUUACCCUUUAACAGAGCCUCAUUAUUACCUCCCCUACUGGGGAACAGGAGCCACCAUAGCUAGUAAAUUGGUGGACUUAUCUUAGACAUAUGAAUUUGCUUAUCAUUUAAUAUUUUCUGAUGACCCACUGCUUGAGAUCUUUUGAUCUGUAGUGAAAUCUUUGCAUGUCGCUACCUGGCUUCAAAGAAAAACAUGCAGGAGCUGUCUUCUUGCUAAUACAAGAAGACCAUUAAAAAAAAAAAAAAACAGGAAAGAAUCUCUGUGCUUGCAAAACCCAUUUUAAGGAAAAGCUAUCCUCCACUAAAGAAGCAGUGUUGGACUGAUUUUAAUAAUGUCAGAAUGGCCAAUAAAUGUAUUAAUAGAAAGAAUUGAAAAUCAAUGAGCUGUGAUGGUAAUUACAGAUAGUACCCAAGGGAAAUAUAGCAGGCAGACAAAUCCUUUCCCUUGGGUCCUGCCCUGGGCAAAGCUAUGAAGUUGAUAAUUCUGCCCUCCUUCUUUCCCAUUAGCAAUGUACUUUCUCCUUCAACUUAAUUCUCCUCCACUCACAACCCAGACCCUCCCAACUCCCUCUGCUGUGAUGGCUCAUGCUACCCACAGAUGACCCAUUCUAACUGUAGUCUUCUUAAUUGAGGAAAAUGUAAAGUGCUAUUCUCUCCAGGAGUUAUUUGCAUUUUUAUAGGGUCAGUGCUUUGUAAAAAGGAACACUUCUUGAAGAGAUUUCAUGCUCUGAGUAAUUUGGAAAUUUUGAUUUGGGGAAAAUUAACCUCUCCAGAAUAUUUCAGUUUAUGUUCUCCCUUGUGAACUAGUCUUUGUGGUAGAGUUGUUUGUUUGUUUGUUUGUUUGUUUGUUUGUUUGUUUUUUAAACAAAAAAAGGAAAAUCUGGAUCCUGAGGUAAGUGUUUCUCUUUACCUAGGUGUGUUUUCAUGUGCUAACAUUUGCAUACUGAUUCACUGUUUAUAACUGUCAAUAUAGCUUAUUUAACCCUUGGAGGACUUUUGCUUCUGACCAUGAGGGAUUAAUUGCCAUGGGAAUUGACCUCUUACCAUAAACAACUAGAAAACCAGACAAAAGGUAUAAAAUGUUUUUACAUACUGAACAACAGGCAGAUAAGGACUAUGAUCCUGGAGAGUAAGGCGGGAAAGGAGGGGAACUCUACUGGUGCAUUAGCCUACAACCUAAGGGCAAAGCCGGAAGGAAGAGUCCAAAUAGGGCCUAGCUGUCACUGUGUUAGGCAGGCAGUGAUUGGGAUUUGGGAGAGGUCAAGGCAAACUGGUUUUUGAGGGGAACAGUAAUAGCGAGGGAGAAGUUGUACAGAGAGCUCUGGAGAUCUUCAGAGUGGUCACCUUGAAAGGGUUUGCCUAAGUAAUGAUCUACCUAUGUGUGCAGGAGGACAAGGAAAGAAUAAGGAAGGCAACAAAGUGGAACAGUUCUUAGAGCUCACAUACAGUUCACACAUACCCAGAAUGGAGAGACCCCUUCAUACAUGAGGCAUUUGGUAGAGGUCUCAGAAGGGUCACAGGUUAGUCAUGGGGCUCAGUUAGUCCCAUGGUAGUCUGGUCAGGGGCUUGCCAUGAUGGACACGAGAAGCAAAUCCUGAAAGGGUCCAACUGAUCUGCAAGUUACACAGUUGUGCCGGAACAAAAUCCAGCACUGUAGAGAAAGACACAAUAAGCUAUAGUCUUUGAUAAUGUAAAAGUUGCAUCAUCUGGCAUUUGAUGAUAAUUGAUUGGAUUGAACAGUUAGAGAAAAAGACUAAGAAAAUGAACAAAGCCUUAGUGACCUAUGGAGCAAUCUUAAGUAGUCUAACGUAUGUACAAUUGAACCGUCAGGAUGGGGAAGGUCAGAAAAAUUAUUUGAAGAAAUAAUGGCCAGGCUGUGAUUGUAUAGUGGUUAGUACUCGGUGUUGUGAAGAAAUAAUGGCUGGACAUUAUCCAAAUGUGAUGAAAACACAUAGAUCUAAGAAGUUCAGUUAGCCCCAAGCCGAAAAAACCACCCCAAAGCACAAAAUAAUCAAAUUGCUGAGAACAGGUCUUGAAGAACAGUCUUAAAAGCAGCCAGUGGAGAAAAGGAGAAUGUGUAUGUUGUAAAUCCUAGAGCAACCACACACAUGCACGUACACACACACACA